ensembl:snoRNA
GGCCUCCUGGUGCUUCCCACAGGCCGUGUUCUCACAUGGCUACAGAAGAGCAGGCAGAGUAAACCACCCCACACAUGCCACAGCCCUGGCCCGGGCCUGGUCUGUCCUGUGAAUGGGGGUACAUGG